rnacentral:rRNA from 1 species
AUACGUAGGGGGCGAGCGUUGUCCGGAAUGAUUGGGCGUAAAGGGCGCGUAGGCGGCCUGUUAAGUCUGGAGUGAAAGUCCUGUUUUCAAGAUGGGGAUUGCUUUGGAUACUGAUGGGCUUGAGUGCAGGAGAGGUUAUCGGAAUUCCCGGUGUAGCGGUGAAAUGCGUAGAGAUCGGGAGGAACACCAGUGGCGAAGGCGGGUAACUGGACUGCAACUGACGCUGAGGCGCGAAAGUGUGGGGAGCAAACAGGAUUAGAUACCCUGGUAGUCCACGCUGUAAACGAUGAAUGCUAGGUGUAGGGGGUAUCGACCCCUUCUGUGCCGCAGUAAACACAAUAAGCAUUCCGCCUGGGGAGUACGGUCGCAAGAUUAAAACUCAAAUGAAUUGGCGGGG